GAUGAACGCUGGCGGCGUGCCUAAUACAUGCAAGUCGAGCGAACGGACGAGAAGCUUGCUUCUCUGAUGUUAGCGGCGGACGGGUGAGUAACACGUGGAUAACCUACCUAUAAGACUGGGAUAACUUCGGGAAACCGUAGCUAAUACCGGAUAAUAUUUUGAACCGCAUGGUUCAAAAGUGAAAGACGGUCUUGCUGUCACUUAUAGAUGGAUCCGCGCUGCAUUAGCUAGUUGGUAAGGUAACGGCUUACCAAGGCAACGAUGCAUAGCCGACCUGAGAGGGUGAUCGGCCACACUGGAACUGAGACACGGUCCAGACUCCUACGGGAGGCAGCAGUAGGGAAUCUUCCGCAAUGGGCGAAAGCCUGACGGAGCAACGCCGCGUGAGUGAUGAAGGUCUUCGGAUCGUAAAACUCUGUUAUUAGGGAAGAACAUAUGUGUAAGUAACUGUGCACAUCUUGACGGUACCUAAUCAGAAAGCCACGGCUAACUACGUGCCAGCAGCCGCGGUAAUACGUAGGUGGCAAGCGUUAUCCGGAAUUAUUGGGCGUAAAGCGCGCGUAGGCGGUUUUUUAAGUCUGAUGUGAAAGCCCACGGGCUCACCGUGGAGGGUCAUUGGAAACUGGAAAACUUGAGUGCAGAAGAGGAAAGUGGAAUUCCAUGUGUAGCGGUGAAAUGCGCAGAGAUAUGGAGGAACACCAGUGGCGAAGGCGACUUUCUGGUCUGUAACUGACGCUGAUGUGCGAAAGCGUGGGGAUCAAACAGGAUUAGAUACCCUGGUAGUCCACGCCGUAAACGAUGAGUGCUAAGUGUUAGGGGGUUUCCGCCCCUUAGUGCUGCAGCUAACGCAUUAAGCACUCCGCCUGGGGAGUACGACCGCAAGGUUGAAACUCAAAGGAAUUGACGGGGACCCGCACAAGCGGUGGAGCAUGUGGUUUAAUUCGAAGCAACGCGAAGAACCUUACCAAAUCUUGACAUCCUUUGACAACUCUAGAGAUAGAGCCUUCCCCUUCGGGGGACAAAGUGACAGGUGGUGCAUGGUUGUCGUCAGCUCGUGUCGUGAGAUGUUGGGUUAAGUCCCGCAACGAGCGCAACCCUUAAGCUUAGUUGCCAUCAUUAAGUUGGGCACUCUAAGUUGACUGCCGGUGACAAACCGGAGGAAGGUGGGGAUGACGUCAAAUCAUCAUGCCCCUUAUGAUUUGGGCUACACACGUGCUACAAUGGACAAUACAAAGGGCAGCGAAACCGUGAGGUCAAGCAAAUCCCAUAAAGUUGUUCUCAGUUCGGAUUGUAGUCUGCAACUCGACUACAUGAAGCUGGAAUCGCUAGUAAUCGUAGAUCAGCAUGCUACGGUGAAUACGUUCCCGGGUCU
rnacentral:rRNA from 1 species